AACGAACGCUGGCGGCAUGCCUAACACAUGCAAGUCGAACGGGAUCCGGACUUCGGUCCGGUGAGAGUGGCGGACGGGUGAGUAACACGUGGGAACCUGCCUUUUGGUUCGGGAUAACCGCGGGAAACUGCGGCUAAUACCGGAUGCUCCCGAGAGGGGAAAGAUUUAUCGCCAGAAGAGGGGCCCGCGUCCGAUUAGGUAGUUGGUGGGGUAAAGGCCUACCAAGCCGACGAUCGGUAGCUGGUCUGAGAGGAUGAUCAGCCACACUGGGACUGAGAUACGGCCCAGACUCCUACGGGAGGCAGCAGUGGGGAAUAUUGGACAAUGGGGGGCAACCCUGAUCCAGCAAUGCCGCGUGAGUGAUGAAGGCCUUAGGGUCGUAAAGCUCUUUUGCCAGGCAAGAUGAUGACUGUACCUGGAGAAUAAGCCCCGGCUAACUUCGUGCCAGCAGCCGCGGUAAU
rnacentral:rRNA from 1 species